UCCCUCAGAAUGGUUGGAAAUCAUUCGCAGAGUGUAAAGGUAUAAGGGAGCUUGACUGCGAGAGAGACAACUCGAGCAGGGAGGAAACUAGGACUUAGUGAUCUGGUGGUACCGUAUGGAAGGGCCAUCACUCAACGGAUAAAAGCUACCCUGGGGAUAACAGGCUUAUCUCCCCCAAGAGUUCACAUCGAGGGGGAGGUUUGGCACCUCGAUGUAGGCCCAUCGCAUCCUGGGGCUGAAGUCGGUCCCACGGGUUGGGCUGUUCGCCCAUUAAAGCGGCACGCGAG
rnacentral:rRNA from 1 species